ACAGGAUUUCCGGUAUCGUCUGUCAGUGGCCGCCAGGGGAGAUGAGCUGCCACCACAAAAUGGUAAAUGUGUGGGGGGAAGCUGCAGAGAUUUACCCCACUGUGAAAGACGACACGUGACAGCGUUCCACAGAAUGGUCCUGAUCAUGUAGAAGCUCCAGGUUCAUGUGUCACAGAUGGACCUGUGCAGCAGCAGAUGUCCCAAAACAUCAUCCUGCCCGAAGCCAUUUGAAGACAUGUGCAGGCCUUUGGAGAGACACAGUUAAAAGUAGACUGAGUUAGACUGAGUGAAUGUGGAAAUGCCUGCACCUGUGCCCACAGACACCUGUCCUUAUUGCAAACUGUGAAAACCUGCAGAAAACGUACAGACCUGUGCUCACAGACGCUGCUUGAAGGACACUGUGACAUUUUAAUAAUAUCAAAUGUAGCUUUUUCAUUAAUCAAUAAAGCAUUUAAAAUG
rnacentral:lncRNA from 1 species